rnacentral:lncRNA from 1 species
GUAAAUCUGAUAUUGGUGAGUGCUAAACUUGCCGGGUGUCUAAAUAGCUAGCCCGUGAUGCCUGGGCUAUGUACUUAGAAUAUUGCAAAAUGUGCUUUCACCAAAAAGCUAUUUUAAAAUCGGACAUAUCGCGUGAAUAGAGGAGUUCUGUAUCUAUAAUUCUUAAAAUAAUUGUUAUGCUUUUUGUGAACGUUUAUCGUGAGUAAUUUAGUAAAUUGUUAGUAAAUUUCCCGGAAGUUUGCGGGGGGUAUGCUAGUUCUGAACGUCACAUGCUAAUGUAAAAAGCUGUUUUUUUUAUAUAAAUAUGAACUUGAUUGAACAAAACAUGCAUGUAUUGUAUAACAUAAUGUCCUAGGUGUGUCAUCUGAUGAAGAUCAUCAAAGGUUAGUGCUGCAUUUAGCUGUCUUCUGGGUUUUUGUGACAUUAUAUGCUAGCUUGAAAAAUGGGUGUCUGAUUAUUUCUGGCUUGGUACUCUGCUGACAUAAUCUAAUGUUUUGCUUUCGCUGUAAAGCCUUUUUGAAAUCAGACACUGUGGUUAGAUAAAGGAGAGUCUUAUCUUUAAAAUGCUGUGAAAAAUGCUCCUAUUCAGUCUUGCAGUUUUCUUUUGCUUUUUUCCGAUGUACUUCACUCUAAAAACCAUGUAAAUUUCAAUAUUUGUAGGAGCUCAUUUUUCAGCUGCUGCUGCUCAAAUUAUAAACUAGUGUUUUUCCACUUUCAAAAGACAUUCCAAUUCCUGCCAAAAUGUUCAUAAAUUCAUAAAAAUGAAAGAUUCACAGACUAAGGCCUACCUUCAAUUUGGACUUCCAGAUAAUUUGCACACGUAGGAUUUGACUAUAAAGUUUCAACAAUAUAUCAUUGAAAACAGAAACACAAGACCUAGUUUUAAAUCACAAAAUAUAUUAUUGAUCAAAUAAAGUUCUCAUAAGAUAAAAGUAAUGUAUUUGAGAUUAUUUCAUUAAAUUAUAGGUCCUACCUCAGUUCAGGAAGAGCAUCAAUGACCUGUCUAUGGAUUGUCUUAGUUUAACAAAAUAAUGCUUCAUUAUGACAUCAUGUACAUUAUGACAUAGCAGCCGUCUACAUCCUAAAAGUUUGUCAAAACCACUUGAAUAGGCAUGAAAUGUAAAAUUAAAUACAAUAGGCCUAAUUCAACAAUUGAAUUAAAAUAAUAGUUUGACAGUAAUUAUUCAGUUUAUUGGCUUUUAUUUUCAUUACAGUAGUGGUUUUGAAUUUAUUAAAAUCAGAGUAGGCCUAGUGAGUUUCGUAGAACUCGAUCGCUCAUUGAACAUCUGUGUGGAACGUUCCCAGCUGAUGCCACACAGACACCUUUGAAAAAAAAUCACGAUUUUAGAUUCAUAUUCAACUUAUCAGCAUAUAUGCACGGCAAAUAAAUUCCCAGUAAUCAAAUAAAUCUGAAAAUCGCAAUUAUCUAUUUAUUAUAGCAUCCUCUUAGAACGAGAAUCACUGUGGUGUCAAUGUUUUGAUUAUGUCCAAGUAGGAACAUUGCUAUAGGUAUUUUGACUUCUAUACUACAAUAGUGGUAGUUGUGUGUGUUUUCUUGUCGUUCAUUCGUUUUGAGUCAGCGCUAAACCCAACUCAACCAAAAAUAAAAGUUAAAGAAUGGAAUUAAGCCAGUGUCUUAGAUUGAACUUUCCAAGCAGUAAAUAUAUCCUUUAAAUGUUGAUAUUUGGUUGCGUUGUCAACUAAACACAAUUCAAUAUUACUUUUGUAAUACAGUAAAUAGCCUAAAGUUAAGGCUCUUACAAACUAAUGUAACAGUUUUUAUUCAACCGUAAAAUAAGUAACAGAUCCAUGGCCACAUUUUGAGGUUACUGUAACUAUACAUUUAUUCGUAUGUAACGUUAAUCAUAUAAAGCGUGCAUGUUCAAGAUAGCAUGCAUACUGUAGGUUGUGGCGGAUCUGUGGAGAUAUUCACAAUUGCUGUAGUCUGUAGAAUCUCGAACGGCAUUGAUCACUUGCAGCAUGUACUAUUAUUGUAAUCUCAACUUCAAACCAGGUAAUUAGGUUCUGCCAUUUGACGAAGCACAGUGUGGUUUAGUCGCCAGGGUUGUGGGUGCGAUUCCCAUGGGUUACCAGUGUGACCGUAUGCUAAAUGACUAAAAUGUAAUUAACCAGUGGUGGAAAAAUAACUCAAUUGUCAUACUUGAGUAAAAGUAAAGUUACCUUAGUAGAAAAUGACUCCAAUAAAAUACUACUUGAGUAAAAGUCUAAAAGUGAUCGACUGGCUGGCUGGCUAGAUGGCUAGCGUGAUAAUGACUAGCGAGGUAAAGUUGGAUCAUAGCUAAUGUUGGCUGUGCUAUUUAGCCAGCUCGCUAAGUUUCCAAGGGUGUUGCUAUAGCUACUAUACAUCCACACUAAGCCAGGUAGUUACAUUUUUGCUGUAUACUUUUAUUUUACGUAGAGAGAGGUCCAGUCAGGUUUGGUUAAAUAGUUAUGUGGCUUUUGACUGGGUUUCAAGCCUAACUAUGUUGUUUAUAUUACUUCAGGGAACUUUAGCUACUAUUACGUUUGCUGGCUUGUUUAUUGUUAGAGAUAAAUGAUAGCAUUACUGAUACCGAGACAGGGAUAAGCUACUCGCUGGCCGCCUAAUUGCAAGCUAGCUGAUAGCUUUACACUUGUGUAUGUGCGAACGUGUGUGUGUGUAUAUAUACUGCUCAAAAAAAUAAAGGGAACACUAAAAUAACACAUCCUAGAUCUGAAUGAAUGAAAUAAUCUUAUUAAAUACUUUUUUCUUUACAUAGUUGAAUGUGCUGACAACAAAAUCACACAAAAAUAAUCAAUGGAAAUCCAAUUUAUCAACCCAUGGAGGUCUGGAUGUGGAGUCACACUACAGGCUGAUCCAACUUUGAUGUAAUGUCCUUAAAUCAAGUCAAAAUGAGGCUCAGUAGUGUGUGUGGCCUCCACGUGCCUGUAUGACCUCCCUACAACGCCUGGGCAUGCUCCUGAUGAGGUGGCGGAUGGUCUCCAGAGGGAUCUCCUCCCAGACCUGGACUAAAGCAUCCGCCAACUCCCGGACAGUCUGUGGUGCAACGUGGCAUUGGUGGAUGGAGCGAGACAUGAUGUCCCAGAUGUGCUCAAUUGGAUUCAGGUCUGGGGAACGGGCGGGCCAGUCCAUAGCAUCAAUGCCUUCCUCUUGCAGGAACUGCUGACACACUCCAGCCACAUGAGUUCUAGCAUUGUCUUGCAUUAGGAGGAACCAAGGGCCAACCGCACCUGCAUAUGGUCUCACAAAGGGUCUGAGGAUCUCAUCUCGGUACCUAAUGGCAGUCAGGCUACCUCUGGCGAGCACAUGGAGGGCUGUGCGGCCCCCCCAAAGAAAUGCCACCCCACACCAUGACUGACCCACCGCCAAACCGGUCAUGCUGGAGGAUGUUGCAGGCUACAGAACGUUCUCCACGGCGUCUCCAGACUCUGUCACGUCUGUCACAUGUGCUCAGUGUGAACCUGCUUCAUCUGUGAAGAGCACAGGGCGCCAGUGGAGAAUUUGCGUGUUCUCUGGCAAAUGCCAAACGUCCUGCACGGUGUUGGGCUGUAAGCACAACUCCCACCUGUGGACGUCGGGCCCUCAUACCAGCCUCAUGGAGUCUGUUUCUGACCGUUUGAGCAGACACAUGCUCAUUUGUGGCCUGCUGGAGGUCAUUUUGCAGGGCUCUGGCAGUGCUCCUCCUGCUCCUCCUUGCACAAAGGCAGAGGUAGCGGUCCUGCUGCUGGGUUGUUGCCCUCCUACGGUCUCCUCCACGUCUCCUGAUGUACUGGCCUGUCUCAUGGUAGCGCCUCCAUGCUCUGGACACUGCGCUGACAGACACAGCAAACCUUCUUGCCACAGCUCGCAUUGAUGUGCCAUCCUGGAUGAGCUGCACUACCUGAGCCACUUGUGUGGGUUGUAGACUCCGUCUCAUGCUACCACUAGAGUGAAAGCACCGCCAGCAUUCAAAAGUGACCAAAACAUCAGCCAGGAAGCAUAAGAACUGAGAAGUGGUCUGUGGUCACCACCUGCCGAACCACUCCUUUAUUGGGGGUGUCUUGCUAAUUGCCUAUCAUUUCCACCUGUUGUCUAUUCCAUUUGCACAACAGCAUGUGAAAUUUACUGUCAAUCAGUGUUGCUUCCUAAGUGGACAGUUUGAUUUCACAGAAGUGUGAUUGACUUGGAGUUACAUUGUGUUGUUUAAGUGUUCCCUUUAUUUUUUUUGAGCAGUGUAUAUAUAAUAUUUUUUGGGGGACGGUGAACUCAGGAGGAUGGUGAUUGUUUAACUACUUGUCCCUAUUUUAUAUUUGAGAGAUUAUUGUUAUCCUCUGGUAAAGGUUUUCAUUUAUACAUCAUAGCUUGAUGUCUUUUUUCCUGACCUGCUGGGGUGUGUUUGUGGUCUUCACUUUUGUCGCCGCGCGGCACAGGUUUCAGGGCGCAUUGGGGAGUGCCGAUUGGUUGACAUUUGGGUGUGCGGGUAGGCUCUGUUGUUGACUAUGAACGCACCCAAGGUUUUUGUUGUUGUUGUUGAGACAUGCUCAAGUGGGGCUAAAUAGUCCGGUCAUUAUUGUUGUAAUCAAAUUGUAUUUUGUUACUUGUAUUUUUGUUACAGUCAAUGUACUCCAUAUACAUAUAAUUUAAAAUGAACCUAAUUCGAGUGAUGCUAUGCAUAGCAGGUACAUUUAGCUUAAAGACUAGCGUCUAAGGAUAUGGGUUCUUUAUCUCCCUCAGUUGGGGAGGGGGUUGGGUGGGUUUGUGGUAGGGUCAGGGUAUUAGCUCACGAGAUGUUUACUACUUUUAACUUUCAUAAUUUCAUUUUGUACAAGUUGUAUACACUCAACGCAAUUUUGAUUCUUUCCUUUUCCCUAUUUCUUAUUUUCUUUAAAGAUGUCGGCACCUAAUAACUAUACUUUUAUGACACUUAACAUUAGGGGUACUAAAUGCCCAGUCAAGAGCAAAUGCAUUCUGUAUUAUCUAAAGCAGCAUAAGGUUGAUAUAGCUCUUCUUCAGGAGACACACCUGACUGACUCUGAGCAUGAUAAACUGAAGAGAGAGUGGGUGGGCCAAGUGUACUAUUCAUCUUUCACCUCUCGGGCAAGAGGGGUGGCCAUACUCAUUAAUAAGAUUUGCCCCUUUCAGAUACAAUCUCAGAUUAAAGACAAAGGGGGUAGGUUUGUGAUCAUUCAAGGUUUCUUUAGCACUGAGCCCAUUACCAAUGUGAAUGUGUAUGGGCCUAACCAUGAUGAUCCUAAA